rnacentral:rRNA from 1 species
UACAGAGGGGGCAAGCGUUAUUCGGAAUUAUUGGGCGUAAAGGGCGCGUAGGCGGCCUGGCAAGUGGAAGGUGAAAUCCCUCGGCUAAACCGAGGAACUGCCUCCCAAACUGCUAGGCUUGAGACCAGGAGAGGUGAGUGGAAUUCCCAGUGUAGCGGUGAAAUGCGUAGAUAUUGGGAGGAACACCAGUGGCGAAAGCGGACUUCUGGGUUGUUACUGACGCUGAGGUACGAAAGCGUGGGGAGCAAACGGG